CCUACGGGGGGCAGCAGUAGGGAAUCUUCCACAAUGGACGAAAGUCUGAUGGAGCAACGCCGCGUGAGUGAAGAAGGGUUUCGGCUCGUAAAGCUCUGUUGGUAGUGAAGAAAGAUAGAGGUAGUAACUGGCUUUUAUUUGACGGUAAUUACUUAGAAAGUCUCGGCUAACUACGUGCCAGCAGCCGAGGUAAUACGUAGGUGGCAAGCGUUGUCCGGUUUUAUUGGGCGUAAAGCGAGUGCAGGCGGUUCAAUAAGUCUGAUGUGAAAGUCUUCGGCUCAACCGGAGAAUUGCAUCAGAAACUGUUAGACUUGAGUGCAGAAGAGGAGGGUGGAACUCGAGGUGUAGCGGUGGAAUGCGUAGAUAUAUGGAAGAACACCAGUGGCGAAGGCGGCUCUCUGGUCUGCAACUGACGCUGAGGCUCGAAAGCAUGGGUAGCGAACAGGAUUAGAUACCCGAGUAGUC
rnacentral:rRNA from 1 species